rnacentral:tRNA from 3 species
GGAGUAGUGGCUGAGAGGCUGAAGGCACACCCCUGCUAAGGGUGCAUCUGGGCUAUAACCUGGAUCGAGGGUUCGAAUCCCUCCUACUCCGCCA